GGGGAGAGAGAAGGCUGGGAAAAUUGAAAAUCCUAACUUGGUUCGGAGGCGACAACAGGCACCGCAGCUCCAUGUAGGGAGUGACUGUGUUGGUUUUCUUUUUGUUGGAGACCGAGUUUUGCAGGUAUAGGUCGGUGUCCACUACGGGUCUCGUUUUGCAUUUUGUGACUCGCUCAAGAAGUGCGUGGUUGAGGCCUGUGGGAGUCUUUGUCUCCUGGCCCGUAGAUGAUUUUUU